UUGUCGGGUAGCAAUAUUCGGCAGUCGGAGCGGCGCAAGGGUGCGUAACACGUGGGUAAUCUGCCAAAAAGUUUGGGAUAACUUGCUGAAAGGCGAGCUAAUACCGGAUGUGACGCUUGGGAGGCAUCUCCUGAUCGUUAAAGUUGGGGACCGUAAGGCCUGACGCUUUUUGAUGAACCCGCGGCCUAUCAGCUAGUUGGUGAGGUAACGGCCCACCAAGGCUAAGACGGGUAGCUGGUCUGAGAGGACGACCAGCCACACUGGAACCGAGACACGGUCCAGACACCUACGGGUGGCAGCAGUCGAGAAUUUUUCACAAUGGGCGCAAGCCUGAUGGAGCGACGCCGCGUGGGGGAUGAAUGGCUUCGGCCCGUAAACCCCUGUCAUUCGCGAUCAAACCUUGGUAUUUAAAAGAUGCCGAGCUGAUAGUAGCGGAAGAGGAAGGGACGGCUAACUCUGUGCCAGCAGCCGCGGUAAUACAGAGGUCCCAAGCGUUGUUCGGAUUCACUGGGCGUAAAGGGUGCGUAGGUGGCGAGGUAAGUCGGAUGUGAAAGCUCGGAGCUCAACUCCGAAAUGGCAUUGGAAACUACCUUGCUUGAG
rnacentral:rRNA from 1 species